rnacentral:ncRNA from 1 species
AGGGCCAGAAGGCGUGCAAUAUACGGGAUCAGCGGCAGGUUCAGGACCAAAAGCACGAUAUUGCCGAUAUACAUCGAAAUGAUCACGGACCAGAACACUUCGGGCUGUUCAACAAACAGGCGCGGACC